rnacentral:rRNA from 1 species
UACAGAGGUCUCAAGCGUUGUUCGGAUUCAUUGGGCGUAAAGGGUGCGUAGGUGGCGGGGUAAGUCAGGUGUGAAAUUUCGGAGCUUAACUCCGAAACUGCAUUUGAUACUGCCUUGCUUGAGGACUGGAGAGGAGACUGGAAUUCAUGGUGUAGCAGUGAAAUGCGUAGAGAUCAUGAGGAAGACCAGUGGCGAAGGCGGGUCUCUGGACAGUUCCUGACACUGAGGCACGAAGGCCAGGGGAGCAAACGGG